AUUGAACGCUGGCGGCAUGCCUUACACAUGCAAGUCGAACGGUAACAGGUCUUCGGAUGCUGACGAGUGGCGAACGGGUGAGUAAUACAUCGGAACGCGCCUAGUAGUGGGGGAUAACUACUCGAAAGAGUGGCUAAUACCGCAUGAGAUCUACGGAUGAAAGCAGGGGAUCGCACGACCUUGUGCUACUAGAGCGGCCGAUGGCAGAUUAGGUAGUUGGUGGGAUAAAAGCUUACCAAGCCGACGAUCUGUAGCUGGUCUGAGAGGACGAUCAGCCACACUGGGACUGAGACACGGCCCAGACUCCUACGGGAGGCAGCAGUGGGGAAUUUUGGACAAUGGGCGCAAGCCUGAUCCAGCAAUGCCGCGUGCAGGAUGAAGGCCUUCGGGUUGUAAACUGCUUUUGUACGGAACGAAAAGCCCCGGGUUAAUACCCUGGGGUCAUGACGGUACCGUAAGAAUAAGCACCGGCUAACUACGUGCCAGCAGCCGCGGUAA
rnacentral:rRNA from 1 species